GUCCACGCUGUAAACGAUGGAUACUAGGUGUGGGAGGUAUCGACCCCUUCCGUGCCGCAGUAAACGCAAUAAGUAUCCCGCCUGGGGAGUACGGCCGCAAGGUUGAACUCAAAGGAAUUGACGGGGCCCGCACAAGCAGCGGAGCAUGUGGUUUAAUUCGAAGCAACGCGAAGAACCUUACCAGGACUUGACAUCCUCUGCAUUACUCGUAACUGAGGAAACCCUUCGGGGCAGAGAGACAGGUGGUGCAUGGUUGUCGU
rnacentral:rRNA from 1 species